AGUGGACGCUGGCGGUAGGCCUAACACAUGCAAGUCGAACGGCAGCACAGUAAGAGCUUGCUCUUACGGGUGGCGAGUGGCGGACGGGUGAGGAAUACAUCGGAAUCUACUUUUUCGUGGGGGAUAAUGUAGGGAAACUUACGCUAAUACCGCAUACGACCUACGGGUGAAAGCAGGGGAUCUUCGGACCUUGCGCGAUUGAAUGAGCCGAUGUCGGAUUAGCUAGUUGGCGGGGUAAAGGCCCACCAAGGCGACGAUCCGUAGCUGGUCUGAGAGGAUGAUCAGCCACACUGGAACUGAGACACGGUCCAGACUCCUACGGGAGGCAGCAGUGGGGAAUAUUGGACAAUGGGCGCAAGCCUGAUCCAGCCAUACCGCGUGGGUGAAGAAGGCCUUCGGGUUGUAAAGCCCUUUUGUUGGGAAAGAAAAGCAGCAGGUUAAUACCCCGCUGUUCUGACGGUACCCAAAGAAUAAGCACCGGCUAACUUCGUG
rnacentral:rRNA from 1 species